GCCGGGCGUGGUGGCGCGCGCCUGUAAUCCCAGCUACUUGGGGGGCUGAGGUGGGAUGAUCCCUUGAGCCCGGGAGGAGGAGGCUGCAGUGAGCCGAGACCACGCCACUGCACUCCAGCCUGGGCGACAGAGGGAAACCCGGUCUCAA
rnacentral:SRP_RNA from 1 species